rnacentral:rRNA from 1 species
CCCUUAGAUGUUCUGGGCCGCACGCGCGCUACACUGACACGUUCAUCAAGUCUAUAACCUUGACCGAGAGGUCUGGGUAAUCUUUUAAAAACGUGUCGUGCUGGGGAUAGAUUAUUGCAAUUAUUAAUCUUCAACGAGGAAUUCCUAGUAAACGCAAGUCAUCAACUUGCAUUGAUUACGUCCCUGCCCUUUGUACACACCGCCCGUCGCUACUACCGAUUGAAUGAUUUAGUGAGUACCAGGGACCGAGCGCUUUGGUUGGGUUUCCUUCCCUAGCGCUUGGGGACUGUCGCAAACUUGACCAUUUAGAGGAAGUAAAAGUCGUAACA